GUGGAUGGAGAGAACUGAGCGCUCACUGCACUGGAACAGAGAGCCUGGACCUUAACUUCUGUGGCUGGAUUGAUCAGUUUUGAUAAGGUUCCUGUGCAUGCAAUGCAGCAAUGGGGGUUGAAGAGCCAGCUGGUUUUACCGGUUAAAAUACUAAACUGAAAAGUUUACACACACACACACACACACACACACACAUGUAUAUAUAGAAUCUUUAUGCUACACUGCAGCACUGUUCCCAUCCUGUUGACAUGGGGUUAAAACAGGCCAUAAGAGUUUAUGUGCCAACGCAUAUACCUUUAUACACAAUCUUAUGUUAUCUAAGAAGUACAGAAAUGCUCCCAUAAAGUAAUUGGAGGCGAGACACUUAAAGCCUAUCAAUGCAACUUAGGACCGUGCUCCAACCACUAGGAGCUUUAACAAGACUAGCAGGGCUUUUUGAUGCUCUCAGUCUAAAUCCUUAAUGUGUCUGCAAACAAAUUGAGAAUCUAGUCUUUAAAUAUCCUUCUUCUCGGUCCUGUCAGCUUUCAAAUGACCUUAAAGUAUUAAUCUUAUCUUUAAAAUGUAUUAUUGGAAGGGCAUUGGUAAAGUUACAUUACAUAGCACCAGUUCACAACAGCAGUUAUCUCUAUGAGCUUUACACUGUAAGGUAAAGAGCUUGAAAUAUCAGAUGUAAAUUCUAAUGAAUGGAACAACCCCCAGACCACUUGGUGGCUGUGGGAAAGAAGAGACCUCAGCAGGCUGCAGGGCAGUUGGGGGAUAGUAAGGAAACAGGACAGAACCGAGGAGCAAAGAGAGCUCAUAAACAACAAACAAGAUGAAACACAAACUACUGGAAACUGGUGCAGAACAAACACGUGUAUGAUGUGUAACAUCACAUGGCUACCGUAGAGAUAUUGCAACGGUACAGUAUUUGUUUAAGACAAUUUCAGGGCAGUGAAUACUGUGAAACUACUUGGCAGGUAAGUAAUAAAUAUUGUUGUCAAUGAGAGAAUCAGCAUUAUUAAUAAUGUAGGAUCACAGUUUAACUUCUGUAAACUAACAGUAUAUUCAUGUAAUCUGCUUCUAAUAAUAAAGUAAAAGCAUAAACAC